UCUAGAGUAUNGGAGAGGAAAGUGGAAUUCCUAGUGUAGCGGUGAAAUGCGUAGAUAUUAGGAAGAACACCAGUGGCGAAGGCGACUUUCUGGACGAAAACUGACGCUGAGGCGCGAAAGCCAGGGGAGCGAACGGGAUUAGAUACCCCGGUAGUCCUGGCCGUAAACGAUGGGUACUAGGUGUAGGAGGUAUCGACCCCUUCUGUGCCGGAGUUAACGCAAUAAGUACCCCGCCUGGGGAGUACGACCGCAAGGUUGAAACUCAAAGGAAUUGACGGGGGCCCGCACAGGCGGUGGAGUAUGUGGUUUAAUUCGACGCAACGCGAAGAACCUUACCAGGUCUUGACAUUGAUGGACAGAACCAGAGAUGGUUCCUCUUCUUCGGAAGCCAGAAAACAGGUGGUGCACGGUUGUCGUCAGCUCGUGUCGUGAGAUGUUGGAUUAAGUCCCGCAACGAGCGCAACCCCUAUCUUAUGUUGCCAGCACUUUGGGUGGGGACUCAUGAGAGACUGCCGCAGACAACGCGGAGGAAGGCGGGGAUGACGUCAAAUCAUCAUGCCCCUUAUGACCUGGGCUACACACGUACUACAAUGGGAGUUAAUAGACGGAAGCGAGAUCGCGAGAUGGAGUAAACCCGAGAAACACUCUCUCAGUUCGGAUCGUAGGCUGCAACUCGCCUACGUGAAGUCGGAAUCGCUAGUAAUCGCAGGUCAGCAUACUGCGGUGAAUACGUUCCCGGGCCUUGUACACAC
rnacentral:rRNA from 1 species